AGAAAAAAAUUUCAAUAAAUGCAGAAUGCUAGUUUAAGAAUUAACAAGCAAAAGUUAUAUCACUAAAUUCAAGGGUUAAAAUUGAUAGACCCAAAUACUAAGCCUUGUACUAAGUUUUCUUAAGGCAUAGGACGUUAACCGGAGGAUACAACAACAACAACAAAGCCUUUUCCCACUAAGUGGGGUCGGCUAUAUAGCCGCCCAGGUUAACUGGAGGAUCAUACAACAAAUUGUGAAGCCCUAGAUUGGAUACAUAGCCGCCCAGGUUUUUAAGCUACAUUUGAGCCAAGAAU
rnacentral:lncRNA from 1 species